rnacentral:rRNA from 1 species
AUGAAGGCUGGUACCCCAAGAACGUCCGACAGAAUAAAGAAAAGUACCGUUUCAGCUUCGACCGCUUCAAAUGAUUCAAAUGGAGUUCCUAGUCCAGUGGCCACUCCCGACAAAACCGUAAAUGGACAAAUUGAUGAACAUAACUCAGCAAAGCAUAAGCAUGAUGAUGCUUCCGAGAGUGGUACCAGGUCAUUGAAGAAGCAGAAAAGGCUAACUGCAAAGAGCUAUACAAGUCUCUUCAAGACAUCUUCUGAAGAAUAUGAAAAAUCCCCUGGCUAUGAAGGAAAUGCUUCCAAGGUGGACGCGGAAGACAAUGGCUCUGUUUUGAGGUAUGAAGAAAGUGGCGCACAUGAAGAAGAUGACAAGGCACAUUUAAGUCAAGUCGUCAAUAAUUGUUUGGAAGGCUAUACUUCUGGCCAGUGUGAACCUCCCGAGGUGAUAUUGGAGACAGAUGGGUUGAAAACUGAUGUUGAAAAAUCUGCUCAGUGUGAAGCUCCUGAGGUGAUAUUGGAGACAGAUGGGUCGAAAACUGAUGUUGAAAAAUCCGCUCCCAUUUCAGAGGCACAUAUGACUGCUGAUCUGUGCUCACAAAAUAUUCUGACUGAAAGCAGUCCUGCAAUGGAUGCUAGAGAGCCAACUCAUGACUGUUCAGAGUUCGCACUUCACACUGCAAUGGGCCGGAAAGCGGACUCAUCAAAAUUUGUGGAGUAUUGGGUUCCUGCUUGCCUUUCACGAGUGCAACUAGAAAUGUACUGUUAUACCUUACUUUCAAACUCACCAGCGCUUCGAUCACAUUCAAAAACUGACAGUGUUGGUGCUCUUCGCAACAUUCUUGUAUCCCUCCGGAAGUGCUGCGACCACCCUUAUCUAGUAGAUGCAAUGCUCCAAACCUCACUUACCAAGGGCUACCCGAUAACUGAUAUCCUAGAUAUUGGAGUGCGUGCGAGUGGCAAGCUACUGCUUCUUGACAAAAUGCUCCGAGAAAUCAAGGGAAAAGGGCAGAGAGUUCUUAUCCUUACCCAGUCCUGUGGUGGAGCUGGCAAUCCAAUGGGUGAUAUUUUGGAUGAUUUUGUCCGUCAAAGAUAUGGUUUUGAGUCAUAUGAACGCCUGGAGCGUGGUCUCGCUGUAUCAAAGAAACAGGGUGCAAUGAGUAUGUUCAAUGACACGACUAAGGGCCGGUUUAUUUUCUUGAUUGAUAGUCGUGCAUGUCUCCCAAGCAUUAAACUAUCUUCAGUUGAUGUCAUCAUCAUAUAUUGUAGUGAUUGGAAUCCCACAAAUGACUUGAGAGUCCUCCAGAGGAUCAGCAUAGAGUCACAAUCUGAAUGUGUGCCCAUUUUUCGUCUGUAUUCAUCUUGCACAUUGGAGGAAAAGGCUCUUAUACUUGCAAAGCAUGAUCAUAUUCUUGAUAGCAAUGGCCAGAAUAUAACGCCUAUCCUGAGCCAUUCUCUGCUUAGUUGGGGUGCAUCAUUUCAAUUCAGCAGACUCGAAGAGCUAAAAAAUGAUGCAUAUUUAACCAAUGAUUUUGGUGCUGAAAAACUGUUCAUGGAUAAAGUACUUCAGGAGUACUUAAUGAAGUUGUCCAUGAAAAAUGAUCCCAGCACUGAGAUGAGCAAUGCAGCCAUUUCACAAGCUCGUCUGAAUGGACCUUUUUAUUCUAGAGAUACUGUUGUGGUAGGUGAGAGGGGCGGGAUAUCUGCACCUGAUAGUGAUCUGCCAAAAUUCUGGGUAAAUUUGCUAGAUCGGAAGUCUCCUCGUUGGCAGUAUAUAACUGAGCCGACACAAAGAAGCCGUAGAAAGAUACAAAACAUGGAAGAAGCGAAAAUUCCUGCCGAUGAGGCCAGUACCAAACGUAGAAAAAUUGCUGGACCCUUGGAUUCAUCUGCAAAUGUUUUAGCUGGCGAAGAUAAGGACUCAAUAUUGCCUGAAAUUAAUACUACAUCUAGUCGUCAUCAAAUAUCAGUUGACCACACGUGGCAGGAACAAGGGGUGGAACAUCUUCAGGACACACAAAAAGGUCUUCACAUCAAAUUGAAGCCAGAGCUAUCAAAGCUAUAUGAAUUGUUUGAACUACCGGGAAGUGUUCAAUGUUUAUGUGAUGAACUUCUUCAUUAUACUUUGAAGAAUCACCAAGUCAGUGUGGAGCCAAAGCACAUAUUGCAUGCAUUCAAUAUUGCACUGUGCUGGCGUGCUGCUUCUCUCUCAAGGCAUCAGGUUAAUCAUAGAGAAUCACUGGCCCUUGCUGAAAAACACUUGAAAUAUGAGUGCAGUGAAACUCUCGCUGAGUUGGUUUAUAACAAGCUAAGGAUCCUAAAGAAGGAGUUCUCACAUAGAGUACGCGGAACAGGCGAGAAUAAUCAAUCAAUUUCAGUAAAGAACAUAUCACCAUAUCAGCAGGAGACCUCAACUAAAUAUGGAAAUGACAAAUCAAUCCCUGAGCAGGCAGCAUCUGUUGGUGGGAACGAAUCACACCAAGAGGAUUCACAUGAUUUAGUGAUUGAGGCUAUCGUACCAGGAGAGAAGGAAGUCAAGGAACUGCUAUCUGUUCCAGAGAUUCAUGCAAAGCAGCAUUUAUCAAAGGAUGUACUUCUUAGUAGAAUCAGAGAGAAAAGAAUUAAUUUGGUUGACAUGGUUUUCUCCUUGAGAGAAAAGAAUAUCCAUGAUAAACAAGCAAACGAGGUGGCAAUGUUUGACAUGCACAGGCACAAGGGAGUGGUGAAACUGAGAGAAUCAUGCAGAAUAGUUGUGGAACACCUUCGUAGGUCUCAAGCUGAUCCAGAGGGCAGAGGCGGUCAAACGAAGCUAAUAGUUGUAUGGUUUACUAUGCUACUAUGUGCGUUUCUGAAGCACAUGAGGUACCAACGUGAGAAGCUUGACUGGCAGCAAUCAAAGGUGUGGACUAAGGAGUUGCAGUUGAAGGAAGAUUUCCUUGACAAAGCAAAAUCUGGCCAAUUGGAUCAUACUUUUGAUCAACGUAUUUGUUUACCAGAUUCAGGCUUUGCCAUUGAAGAAUUCAGCCACUUUAGCUCCUGUGUUGAUACAGCUACCUUGGCAAACUGUCCGCAGUCUUUGCACGGAACCUCGGCGAUGGAAGUUACAUUGGUUCGUGGUGUGAUUCCAUCUGAUGUUAUCAAUGCAGAAGCAGCGGGAAAUGGUUCUGCUGAAGUUUUUAUCCACAGUGAAGGAAGGCUGGCAUCAGAGAACAUGGUCAGCAAUAGUUUUGCUUGCAUCGACUCGCAAGGAGGGGCAUCUCUGUCAGUUCAACACCAAUUAAACUCUAGUCCUGCAAUUGAUAAUUCUAUUAAUCAGGAAUCUUCAAGUGGUGACCAUAGAAGGAUCGAACAUGUUGAGCAACAGAGUGGUGUGGGUUCGCAACCAUUACCGGGAGAGACUGACCGAUGUUUAGGAGAUGCUGAAAUGGAAGUUAACACCGGCAAUGGAGACAAUACUCAGGCAGAUCCACCGGAAUCACAGACUCUGGCUCCUGUGCCUAGCCAGGCUUCCUUGCAAAUGUCUAAGGAAGUUGAAGCCGAGGCCAAUCUUGUAAUGCCGUCUGCCGAACCAAUUGUAGCACCAGCACCACUUCUACGAAGAGAGGCAGAACAAGUAGACCGUUCUGGUAUAACACCAGCUCAGACGUUGCAACCUGAAAUGCAACCAUCAGCAUCCAGGGAAGUUUCUACUCCGACGGAUCUGAUAAUUCAGUCUGCACAACCAAGUAUGGUGCCAACUGAGCUUUCACAAAGAGAUGUAGAACAAUCAAGCCUACUUUCCCGUGCGCCAUCAUCUCAGUGUUUGCCAUCGGUUCCACUGUCCAGUAUUCCACUUGAAAGAACAAGCCCUGAUCAGUGUCAACAAAGUCAUCAACCUGAGGCUGCACCGGGUUCUUUAGCACAACUCUUUCUGGGGGCACCAAUGAUGUUUAAUCAUCCACCAGUUGGUGAUGAACCACUGAAAAAUGAGUUGCACAGAUUACGGUUAUACAUUGACUCACGUAAUAAAGCCCACAAACUAAAGCAAUCACAACUUAUGACCGAGUGUAGCCAGGAAAUAGAGAAGGUCAAACAAAAGUAUAAUUCGUUACUUGAAGAAAAUGAUUCCACUCAUCUUCAGCAAAGGAAGAUGCUUGAUAGUUUAUGUGAGAAAGUUAUCCUCAACCAGUCACUAGCUGACGAUUUUCGGGCUAAAUUCAUAUCUUCUUCUGGAGCGCAAGCUAGAGCCCACAGCCCUCCAAAUCACCAGAGACCCCAGGCUUCUCAGCAAGUUCCCAUGAGGCCUUCAGCGGCGGCAUCGACUGCAUCACCAACUGCAUCGUCGACAGCUGGUCGACCACCAGUGCAGAUGCAUCAUGUCCAACCAUUACAGGUCCAUCAACCAUCACCAUCAUCAUCAUCAUCGCCAUCUUCACCUCACCCCUCCAGAUCAACAUCAACUACUUUUGGUCUCGUGCCAGUUCUGCCACGGGGAAACUUUGGAGUCCAGAGUGAAGUAACACGUGUACCUGCUCCUCAUCUUCAGCACAGGUUGCCUCCACAGGUGCAUUUGAUGGCACAUGCAAAUCAGCAGCAGCUUCCAACUGGGCUCGAGAGCACGUCUGCAAGGACACGGUCUACCCCUGUGACUCCAGUAAAUAUAAGACAAUCAUGCCCACAGGCAGUUCCCCCAGGGAACCAAUCACUGUCAAGCUUGCACCCAAGUUCACACCCCACUGUACCUGCACCAUUGGGGCCAUCAAGCUCACAUCAAAUUCAGCAGGUUCCACCACUGCCAUCAAGUUCACAGCCAACACGCCUGCUGUCGCCUGUAUCUUCGGUUCCAAGUCCAGUUCUGCCACUAACAUCACCGCGAGGAAAGCUUGGGCUGCGCAAUGAUCCCCCUGGCGUGGCCGCUCGUGUAGAUGUGGUAUGCCUAUCUGACGAUGAAUAG